rnacentral:snoRNA from 1 species
CCCUCCCUGGCCCCAGUCAUGCACUAGUGGUUCCCUGUCUUUGGACAUGUAAGAAUUGGAGGUAAAGAAAUGUGGACUUGGAGAAGUCUGGAGCCAGCUUGCUCCCUACAGGCUCAAGAUCAACCAUCCCACAUAG